rnacentral:rRNA from 1 species
GAUGAACGCUAGCUACAGGCUUAACACAUGCAAGUCGAGGGACCGGCGCACGGGUGAGUAACACGUAUCCAACCUGCCCUUUACUCGGGGAUAGCCUUUCGAAAGAAAGAUUAAUACCCGAUGUAAAGGAUGGGGAUGCGUUCCAUUAGGUUGUUGGUGAGGUAACGGCUCACCAAGCCUUCGAUGGAUAGGGGUUCUGAGAGGAAGGCCCCCCACAUUGGAACUGAGCCCCGGUCCACACUCCUACGGGAGGCAGCAGUGAGUAAUAUUGGUCAAUGAGCUUUGGCCUAACCCAGCCAAGUAGCGUGAGGAAGGAAGGCUUUUGGGUCGUAAACUUCUUUUAUAUAAGAAUAUGUAUUAUAUGAAUAAGCAUCGGCUAACUCCGUGCCAGCAGCCGCGGUAAUUC